UGGAUUCCCCCUUUUAUUUUGUCUUUUAUCUCUCAUCUUUUUACUGUUAUCCAUCAUUCUCUAUCUUUGUAUUUUAGCAAGUCUUAAGUCUCUAGUCUAAUCCUUGUUUUUUUUUGUGUGUUUUUUUUCUUCCUUAAUCUGUAUUCUUUAAAAACCCACUCCACAACCUCAUUUGCGGCAUGGUAUUGAACACAAAUGCUUGAUAUUUCGCCAUACAGUUAUAGAUGUUGAAUUCUAUGAUAUUCAUGGUAAUUGUCUGGAUAAUUUUAAUUUGUAAAUGAAACGUGAAGCAUUGUCACAAAUGUAAAAAUAAGUAGAUGUGGUAAGAUUGCCAAUGAGACAACUAUCCACCAAAGUUCACAUGCAGUGGAUUAAGCAAAGACGGAAAACUUCAGCAAUGAAGAAAACCAAUAGUGUCAAGUCGAAUGCAACGACAUGAAGAAUAUGAAACAAUUCAAUUGAGAAAUUCAACAUCCAAAC
rnacentral:lncRNA from 1 species